UUUGGCUUUGACUUUGACUGAACAUUUGCUCUCACUUUGCGGAAAAAAUAUCGGGAUAUAUGUCGUAUAUCGAUAUUCAGCCUAAAUAUAUCGGGAUAUGACUUUUGGUCCAUAUCGCCCAGCCCUAGUUAAGAUACAGUGUUAGGG